CACGUAGGGUGCGAGCGUUGUCCGGAAUUAUUGGGCGGAAAGAGCUCGUAGGCGGUGUGUCGCGUCGGCCGUGAAAACUUUCAGCUUAACUGGGAGCUUGCGGUCGAUACGGGCAUCACUGGAGUUCGGCAGGGGAGACUGGAAUUCCUGGUGUAGCGGUGAAAUGCGCAGAUAUCAGGAGGAACACCGGUGGCGAAGGCGGGUCUCUGGGCCGAUACUGACGCUGAGGAGCGAAAGCGUGGGGAGCGAACAGG
rnacentral:rRNA from 1 species